UCCUGGAACAGGAGGAACUAACAAUAACCUGUCAACAUCUUUGGGUUUAAAAUGUUGGCAGAGUUGUAGUUAAACUGCAAAAUCCCCAUCACCUGUACCUUCUGUUCCCUUUGAACCUAAAAUUUCUGCUGACUCCUUGCUGUGAGCCCAUCUGUCUACAGCAGGGAGCUUGGCUGAGGCACACAUGUCUCCAGGUCUUUGAGGUCAAGGCUUCAGUAAGACUUGAGAAGCUAGAAGCCCUCACAGCAAGAGCUAUGUGAGCAGCAAGUGUGCCCUCUCUAAAGGGUUAGGAUGGCAGGAAAGAGCACUGCUUCUCCUGAAGGAGGCAGUUUUGCCCUUUCUGUGAGACACCACAUACUGACUUGUGGCAGCCCCUCAUAGCCAAGCCUUAAAUGACAAGCAGACCACAUUGGCCAUUCCCUACCUGCAGGCCUGAGUCACAGAUCAAGCUCAGGAUUGCAGCCUUCCCACCUUUCUACCCUUGACUGCUUACCCUCUGUUUAAAUCAUAACAGGGAUUCAACUAGAAAGGUUUGGGGUUUUUUUGUUUUGUUUUUAAUCUCUCAAGAUGUGAAGUAUUUGCUUACUGGAUUCUACUUACCAUGCAGCAUAAAUAAGUUUUCUUUUUAGGGCAGGAAAACCAAUGAUUUCAUUUCCCCCUUUCUGUAGUAAUAUGGCCAUGUGUGGCUGGAGCAUAGAGAUGUAAUCCUGGUGGUUUUUAAGAAAAUUAUUUUCUUGCUAAUUGACACUUCUGUGGAUGAAGACUUUGAAUAAAAACCUAUUAUUUUCUACA
rnacentral:lncRNA from 1 species